UUGACCCAACCACCCAACCUAAUCAGCCCAAAGAAAAAACCGAUCUCUACCUCGUCUCCCCUCUCUCCGACCCCUAAAACCGUAGACGUAGAUCCCCUCGCUCUCCUCCUCCGCCGCCGCCGUCGCAGCCGAUGAGGGAGGGAUCCGGCGGCCAGAGUUCAGCUGUGAGGAUCGCACGGAAACCGUAAAGGUCUAUGAUCGUCAUGUAUCCCUCCGCCACAAGUCGCCGGAGGAGUGGGCGCCAAACGUCGAGGCGGCGGCGGGCAGGAGGAGUCCGGCGUCCGCCUCCUGGCUGUGCUCGCGGUGGCGCUGAAGGUGCAAAAGGAGGAGAUGAAGAAGAAGAUGGGAAGUUAGUUCUUGUGCGAUGGACUCUCUGUACGAUCUAAACCUCAUAUCAAAAGUAGUUCCAAUGUUUUUGGACAACUCCAAGGUGUGGCACUAAAUACUGUCAACAAGUAUGAAACUAGAAAAGAGAGGGGUGGCUCACGUGGAAGGAGUCAGCAGAUUUGAUCUCAAAGAAAAUAGCAUGUACUCAAAUGUACUCCUAAUAAAUCACACUGCAAGUCCUCUGGCAUGGUGAAUGUUUGUAACAUCAAGUGCUAGUCUUGAUCAUGAUAACCAUCCAGUUUUAUGGAGUGCAAGGAUAGAGCCAAUCACAGCUCUGUUUUGCUGCCACACUCCUUUGCCAACCAAAGCAGCUGAAAGAGUGCAAAAUGUGGCAGAUAAAGAUUUGGUCUGUAUACAAUGCUGAAAUUACUGCUUUCUACUCCGCAUUUUCUAAGAUGAUGGCAAGAGAGGUUUAAACAAAAAGCUUGCUGCUACGGGAAUACUACUAUAUUUUCCUACCUUUGUUGUUGCCAGGUCUUGCCUUUUCAUUUGCACACUUUGUCUUCCUGCCCUUAUCAAUUCUUUUCCUACUCUCUUUGCAACUACACAGACGAUGAUGGGAAUAGCAAUAAAAAUGAUAAAAAAAACAUAGUACUUUCAUUCCAGUUUCAACUGUAGAUUAUUCUAUACUUUGGUUUGUUGACAAAUAUUUAACGGACAGGCCAAUGCAAAAACACAAGCAUGUAUGCUGUCAUUUCUUCUUUUUUUUUUCUGUACUGUUUCUUUCGCCGCCUUACUUGACUGUUUCUUUUGCUGCCUUACUUGAUGGAGAUGCAUGGUGGAAAAACAUCAUUGCUCCCUUCCUUUUGCCUUAUUUGCUUAUGAACUGAUAAGAAUAUUUGCCUAGCACUCUCCGUGGCGACAAAAAUAUGUGAUGGUGAUCACCUACCUGAGUCUCUGAGCUCCUAUCUAGCUCUGCAUUGUUUUAUGGGUUUGUGAGUGAAUCUCUGAUGUAGACGACUAUAUAUCGUGGUGAAAGGGAAGCCAAGGGGUUGGCGGUGCAAAAUAAAAGCACAUAUGCUAUUUAAAACUUCCAACCGAUGUUUUCUUAUACAUUAUUAUUUCGGCGGCUUUCUUCUGUU